rnacentral:rRNA from 1 species
GACGAACGCUGGCGGCGUGCUUAACACAUGCAAGUCGAACGAAAAGAGGGAAAGAGCUUGCUCUUUCCGGAAUUGAGUGGCAAACGGGUGAGUAACACGUAAACAACCUGCCUUCAGGAUGGGGACAACAGACGGAAACGACUGCUAAUACCGAAUAAGUUCCAAGGGCCGCAUGGCCCAUGGAAGAAAAGGUGGCCUCUACCUGUAAGCUAUCGCCUGAAGAGGGGUUUGCGUCUGAUUAGCUGGUUGGAGGGGUAACGGCCCACCAAGGCGACGAUCAGUAGCCGGUCUGAGAGGAUGAACGGCCACACUGGAACUGAGACACGGUCCAGACUCCUACGGGAGGCAGCAGUGGGGAAUCGUCCGCAAUGGGCGAAAGCCUGACGGAGCAACGCCGCGUGAGGGAUGACGGCCUUCGGGUUGUAAAACUCUGUGAUCCGGGACGAAAAGGCAGAGUGCGAAGAACAAACUGCAUUGACGGUACCGGAAAAGCAAGCCACGGCUAACUACGUG